AAUUUAAGUUAAAAGGGCGUAGGGUGAAUGCCUAGGCACUAAGAGCCGACGAAAGACGUAAUAAGCUGCGAAAAGCCAUGGGGAUUGGCAAAUGCGAGUUGAUCCAUGGAUGUCUGAAUGGGGAAACCUAAUAGUGAGAACCACUAUUAUCGUUAGAUGAAUAAAUAGUCUAACGAAGGGAACCUGCUGAACUGAAACAUCUAAGUAGGCAGAGGAAGAGAAAGAAAAUCGAUUCCGUAAGUAGAGGCGAUCGAAAGCGGAGGAGCCUAAACCAAGGUGCGUGCACUUUGGGGUUUGGACUACGAUAUGUAGCUUUAGAUCUAGUAGAAUAUGUAUGGAAAUGCAAACCAAAGAGGGUGAUAGUCCCGUAAACGAAAGAGAAGAAGCGCUAGUAGGAUCCAGAGUACCACGAGACACGAGGAAUCGUCGUGGGAAUGUGCGGAGACCACUCCGUAAGGCUAAAUACUACUUAGUGACCGAUAGAGAUAAGUACUGUGAAGGAAAGGUUAAAAGAACCCCGGGAGGGGAGUGAAAGAGAUCCUAAAACCCUAUGUUUACAAACUGUGGGAGACCAUAGAGUCGACCGCGUACUUUUUGUAGAACGGUCCGGCGAGUUAUGCAAUUUGGCGAGGUUAAUUUGUUAAGCAAAGGAGCCGAAGCGAAAGCGAGUCUAAAAAGGGCGAUAAGUCAAAUAGCAUAGACCCGAAACUGUGUGACCUAUCCAUGACCAGAUUGAAGCUGGAGUAAAAUCCGGUGGAGGAUCGAAGCCACAUCCGUUGAAAAGGGUGGGCAUGAGUUGUGGAUAGCGGAGAAAUUCCAAUCGAA
rnacentral:rRNA from 1 species